GGAAUAAACAGGAAAACGCAGAUGAGGCAAAUGAAGGGGUGAAAAACUUAAUUCAUCGUUAUAUCGCUUCGUGUGAACCAGUCCUGUUUUUCAAAUGCAGAUUACUAUCUAAAGGGGGCAGGUGUCGAUGGCUACUUCCUGCAACACCACGCAGGCCUGCGCUGGGUCCUAAAGCCACACAGUAAUUAGUAAGAUGGGUGUACCUGGGUCCCACUGAUUUCUUCCAGUUUUGAGCAGAUGGCACUGCUGGACAUCUUCUGAUUGAGAAGGGAAGUAAGCAUGAUGUGUCUCAUCUGCUGCACAAUUUUCCUUGGCCGACCACUGCGUCUACAGUCCUCAUCGUUGCCCGUUUCUUUGUGCUUCUUCAACAGAGCUUGGACAGCACAUCUGGAAACCCCUGUCUGCCUUGAAAUUUCUGCCUGGGAGAGACCUUGCUGAUGCAGUAUAUAUCUACCUUGUGUCUUGUUGCCGUGCUCACUCUUGCCAUGGUGUAUGACUUCUGACAUUAAACUGUCUUCAGCAACCUCACCUUGGAAGCAGAGUUUGCCUGUUCCUCACCCAGUUUUAACCCUCCUACACAGCUGUUUCUCUUUCAGUUAAUGAUUGUGUUUCAACCUACAUAUUAAAUUGAUGAUCAUUA